CAGCAUUAGAGCUGCACGAGGAAAAAACCGUUAGAAAGUUUCUCGUACUUGUGCCAGGCAGACAUCGUCAAUCAGAGCUCAAGAAUCUUAGUUGAAAUUUCGUAAAAUUUUAACUUUUUCUACUUAAGAAUUGUUUUCUUCUUACUUCAACACGAAGAAUCAAGUUCAUCUCCCACCAUUUUGAAGACUGCUUCCAAUUUAUCUUCCACAUAACUGGGAUUUGUUCCUACUGAAUAUUUGUUUCUUCUAACAUCAACAAGGAGAAUCAAGUACAUUUCCCACUGUAUUUGAAGACUGCUUCCAAUUGAAUCUAGCUGGCAUUUGUUUUAUUUUUCCAUCAAAUUAGCAGAACAGUACUGACUACAGAGGGUCUGACCAACCCAAAGCACGGAAGAACAUGGGUUCUAAAAGGAAAGCUGAUGAAGAUGUGACACCUGAAUGUCACGAACAUGGUAAUCCCCCUAAGAAAAGGAAGAAUGAUGUUGAUUCUCUUCUGCUUGAAAUUGAAAACCAGAAUGUGGCUUACUUGAAGUAUUUUGUCGAACAAGUUACUGGCAACUUCCCGUUGAGUGAACAGUGGAGAUUAGUAUUCAUUCCUGCCCUAUCUGACACCACUAUUUCAGACCAGAUCUUUCAUAUCCUCAAGAAGAAGUACGCAGACAUCGACCUCAUGAAAAAAGAAGAGAAAACAAAAAAUCCAGAUUGUAUGACUCUACCACAGGACGCUGAUACAGAGCAGCUCAUUGAAGUACUGGAGCUGGUCGGCGCUGCGUGUGUUUUUUAUGGGAACGCUAAAGCUCGAAGAUACGGCUGGAGCUGCUGGUAUAAAGCCACGAAUCUGCGAGAAGGCAAUGCCAUUCCGAAGUCUACCUUUCUUCAAUCUGAAAACCUAAAACUUGCUAUGAGGAAAAAACUUGAAUUCCAAACUGUUCAAGAAUUGGAAGGAUUGCUUCGGCAGAGGCGAACGCACUGGGCGACUCAGGCAAUCUUCACUUGUCUACGUAUAUCGAAGAAGUGUGACUGCUAUCAGAAAAGAUUCGUUGUCUACAAUUUGUUCAAAUUCGCUCUUCAAGGAUGGGGGGACCGCCAUGUCCCCCGUCCCCGCGCUUUCGCCAUAUCCCUCCACCUUUUUGAGCUCUUCGGUAAAACAAAAUUUUUGGACGAACUAGUGAAAAAUGAAACGAACUUGGAAGAUGUCGUACACUCAACGUUCACCGAAUUCUUCAACACCCUGAGGGACCCACUGAAGGGGGUUUUUGGGGUCAAUGGAGUUGGCGCUGGUUGCCGUUACUUUCCUUAUGCGACGUCUUGAUAUCAGUUUACAAUAAUAGCUCUGGACUGUAGGGAAUCCAAGCUCAUAUUCGAGGUAACCUUGCAGUCAACAUAUGUGAGGAUUUCUUGAUUCGUUAAAAUUUUUGCAUAUCUUCGUUGUGAUUCUUGCAUGGAAGUCAACCUGCAGAAAGGUCGGCCAGUUUGUCCAGACAGGAUGUCUUUCUCGCUUGAAGGUCACGAGAAACAUUACGUAAAACUGGCAUGCGGUGGUGAAGAGGUUGGGUGAGAAUGACACGUGUUUCAUCAUUAUCAAAGCAGACCCAUCCCCAGCAACGUCUACCUAAAGAAGGAAAGGCCAGUUUGCAUUUCAAUCGAAGGUCAUGGAGAUAAAAAAAAAAACGUUUCAUGCAGUGGUGUAGAGGUUGGGUGAGAACGGGACGUUUUGCAUCAUUAUCAAGAAGGUAAAAUAACCGCAAGGCUUAAGAGGAGGGGUGAGAAAAAGUAUAAAAGGCGAGAGAAAAGUUGACAGGGAUCAGUCGAGCGAGUAUCUUCGACAAGGGAACAGCUGUAGUGUACUUUUUGCCGUCAGCUGCAUUCUUCAUCGUACUAUCAGUUCUCAAUCAUGGGUAAAUUUUCUGUUGUUGUAUGGAGUUAUGUAUCAAUUUCUAUUUUGUUUUCUCUUUGUUAACAUGCCAGAUAAUGUUGCAUAUUAUUUGUUAAAUUAUUUAUUUUUUAGUCGUACAUAAUGGCAAGGAUUAGGCGAAAGAAAUCAGUCGAGUGAACAUCUCCGGCACGGUAACAGCAACUGCAGUGCACCAUUUGUCACCAACUGCAUUCUUCGUCGAAUUGCUAGUCAAAUCAUGGCAAACUAUGGCGUCGUGCUGCAGUUGUGUGUUGCAUCGUUGAUGGCUGGGUCGGCCACUGGUGUACCGAUGUCUCCUGGGUAUGGCGGCUAACAAAUCGAAACGCCGCCACCUUACUACACAAGAUAUGCCGAGGCCCCCAAGUACUGCACCAAGGCUCCAGAUUAUUAUCCUACUACUUAUGCUGCCCUGAGCUACUACACCGAAUCCCCACAGUAUUAUUCUUCCCCGAGCUACAAUACCAAAGGGUCGAUUACUACACCGAUGCUCCGAAGUACUACACCACCAAGACACCGGAGUACUGCACAACUACAUACAAUGAGAAAAGGCGAAAGAAAACCGUCGAGUGGUCAUCUCCGACACGGCAACAGUAACUGCAGUGCCAAGGCUCAGUAUUACACCACAAAUUAUGUUGCCCCGAGACUCUACCCCAAAGCGCCUGAGUGCUAUACCGAGGGCACUAAUUUCUACACCACCAAGGCACCGGAGUACUACACUGCAACAUACCCUGCUCCAGAUUAUUACAACGAGGCUCCCCAACACUACACCACCAAGGCACUGGAGUACUACACCACUACAUAUCAUGAGGAAAGGUGAAAGAAUUCAGCAGCCGAGUGAGCAUCUCCGUUACAGCAACAGGAACUACCGUGCAGUAUUUGAUCAACUUCAUCCUUCUUCGCAUUACAAGUUUUAAAUAAAGGUAAAAAAUUUUCUAAGAGUUUUGAAUCAACUCUACUUUUUUCUAUUUGUUAAUAUACCGGUUCCAUAAUUGAUUAUUAAUGAUAAAAUUUAUUAAUUGUCAAGUAAACUAUGGCGUCGUGCUGCUGUUGGGCGUUAUAUCGUUGAUGGAUGGAUCGACCACUGGUGUGCUGAUUUCUCCUGGGUAUGGCGGGCGUGAAUAAUCCGUAGCAACCGGUUACUACACUGGGGCCCCCAAAUACUACACCACCAAGGCUCCAGAGUAUUACACCACAACUUAUGCUGCCCCAAUGUUACUACGCAGAUGCUCCGAAGUAUUUUUCUUCCUCGAGCUUCACUACCUUCACCACGCCGCUUACUAAUUAACAACGUCAACACCUACUUACUAUACGAAGGUCUCCAGUACUACGCCACAAAAGCUCCUGACUACUACACCGAGGACCUAACUUGUCACACCACUGAAGCGCCCAAGUAUUGCACUACAACCUACGUUUCUCCAGCUUACACCACGAUGGCAGCGGAGUACUACACCACGAUGGCAGCGGAGUACUACACCACGAUGGCAGCGGAGUACUACACCACGAUGGCAGCGGAGUACUACACCACGAUGGCAGCGUGGUGACGAGUCAGAGUGGUGAUGAUUCUUCAGUAUCCUGCGCUGUGACAUGUCUGUUUCAUAUUUUGGAGGUGACUAUUGCCUUAGUCGAUCUGCAUACGGACAUGUUCUUGUGUUUUGACGAUGUUACAAGGGUAGGUUACGAAAGGAAGUUGUAACUGUUGAUUUGGGUAAGUCUUAUAAGUAAAAGGCAAGUGGAUGAAUUUUGUAUAAAUGAAAGAAUUUGAAGUUGAGAAAAAUAUAUUGGAACAAUUCCUAAA